rnacentral:lncRNA from 1 species
GUGAAAAAAGCCCUUAACAAUAAAACUCAAUAAGUUUGAGGUUAAUCUAGCCUUUAUUUUAAUCCUUAGUGUGCAGUUUUCAUGCACUAUACAACUGACAUACUGUAGAACAAUGGCUCAGGCACAGUUAUCUUUAAUCAAGAGCAAACAUAAACAAAAAAUUACUUCAAAUAAAUGAGGGAAAAAUUAAAAUGCAACAUAUGGAACCGGGGGC